rnacentral:tRNA from 1 species
AACUUUCUAGUACUUAAAGUUAGUACAAAUGACUUCCAAUCACUUAGUCUUGGUUAAAAUCCAAGGAAAGAUA